rnacentral:lncRNA from 1 species
CCACUCGUAGUCGUUGAAUAAGUCCAGAUCUUGCCACAAUCUCUUUAGAGUAUUGAAGUAUUUUGUUAUACUAUAAUCUCCUUGACGGAUAUCUCCAAGAGCAAGCUGCAACUCAUAGAUCUGGGACUGAUUUCCAUAGUCAGAGUACAUCUGACUCACAUUAUCCCAGAGUUCUUUUGCAGUAGAGUAGCACAUAUAAUUUGCACCAAUGUCUUCAUCCAUGGAGUUGACUAACCAUGCCAUAAUCAUGGAGUUUUCGGCAUCCCAAACACCAUAAGAGGGAUCAAAUAUUUCAGGAGCCUUAACAUCUCUGGUAAGAUAACCAAUCUUCCCUCUUCCCCUAAUAUACAUUCUAACCGACUGAGACCAUCUUUGAAAAUUUCCUUCAUUCAGCCGGAUAGUUGUAAUCAGGACAGAAUGAGAUUCAGAAUGGGAAAUUUUUAGUUCUAGUCUUUUUUAGGUGACUGUGGUUUCAGAAGAUUGGUCAGACAUGGUAGGGAAUAGAUCAGAAAGAAAGGGAGCCUAGCUCUGAUACCAUGUGAAAAUAGGUAGAGAAAAAGUUUAUGGAAUAAUUCUCUAUUUUAUAUCUUCAUGAGACUGUACACAGUCUUAAUAUAGGGAUACAAGAGACUAAGAAAGGAAAGAAAAAAUUAAAACAGAAUAUUACACACUGAUUUCUAGGAAGCAAUAACUCUAUAUUUACACCAAAUAUACACC